rnacentral:rRNA from 1 species
CCGCCCGUCACACCAUGAGAGCUGACUGUACCAGAAGUCGCCGAGCUAACCCGCAAGGGGUGCAAGCGCCUAAGGUAUGGUUGGUAAUUGGGUG